GAGUGAUUGACCCGCCACUGGGGAAGGCAACACCCUUAGGAUCCGGAUUCACCGGCUGCCAGGUGCACAAGACAAACUGUGGUGCAAAGUGGGAGCAGACUACCCAAGGGUAUGAACAGCAAGAAUCUGGAGGCUGGGACCACCUUGGAGGCUGGCUACCAAAAAUUCAGCUUGCCAGUCCUGACCGUGCCUUGACUGACCUCCACCGAAUCUUCCAGAUCUUGAGAGCUUCCUGGACUUUCACCUACUUCCAAAUUCCUCUGAUGCUCUUGGAAAUUUGGCUAGUUCAAUGUACACUCAUUCAUUCAGUUGCAGAAUAUUCUCAGUCCAGGCUUCCGGAAUUCCAAUCUCUGCUCAAAUGACCAAUGAGAGAGUAAUGUUCAAAAUUGUUGUACACGUGCUGCACAAAAUUAAUUGCAGAAAAUAUUCAUCUUCUAUCCAAAAGCUCCACUGGGAUUAAGGUUGAUGUCUUGACUAAUAAUCUGGAGUUUAUAACCAUAAACAUGCGACCCAACAUAAAUAAGACUGACAUCCAGGCAAGACACGAAGACCCAGCAUUUUUACAGUUAUACCACUUGUGACUGUGUCUGAGAAUUCUAUCCAUGAAACUGUCUACUACUUUCCGAAAGCUGAAAAAAGAAAAUACAAAGAACUGCUGGAAAGUAAUUUGAAGAGUUAUUGACUAGAAGACAUUAGGGUGAAAUACAAUUAACACUGGCUGUAUAAUGAGACCACCUGAGCUCA